AUUGAACGCUGGCGGCAUGCUUUACACAUGCAAGUCGAACGGCAGCACGGGCUUCGGCCUGGUGGCGAGUGGCGAACGGGUGAGUAAUGCGUCGGAACGUGCCGAGUAAUGGGGGAUAACGCAUCGAAAGGUGUGCUAAUACCGCAUACGCUCUGAGGAGGAAAGCGGGGGGACCUUCGGGCCUCGCGUUAUUCGAGCGGCCGACGUCUGAUUAGCUAGUUGGUGGGGUAAAGGCGUCACCAAGGCGACGAUCAGUAGCGGGUCUGAGAGGAUGAUCCGCCACACUGGGACUGAGACAGGCCCAGACUCCUACGGGAGGCAGCAGUGGGGAAUAUUGCACAAUGGGGGAAACCCUGAUGCAGCCAUGCCGCGUGUGUGAAGAAGGCCUUCGGGUUGUAAAGCACUUUCAGCGAGGAGGAAAGGUUGGUAGGCUAAUAACUGGCCAGCCUGUGACGUUACUCGGCAGAAGAAGCACCGGGCUAACUCCGUGCC
rnacentral:rRNA from 1 species